CCUCCUACGGGGGGCUGCAGUGGGGAAUAUUGGACAAUGGGCGCAAGCCUGAUCCAGCCAUACCGCGUGGGUGAAGAAGGCCUUCGGGUUGUAAAGCCCUUUUGUUGGGAAAGAAAUCCUGUCGGUUAAUACCUGGCGGGGAUGACGGUACCCAAAGAAUAAGCACCGGCUAACUUCGUGCCAGCAGCCGCGGUAAUACGAAGGGUGCAAGCGUUACUCGGAAUUACUGGGCGUAAAGCGUGCGUAGGUGGUGGUUUAAGGCCGUUGUGAAAGCCCUGGGCUCAACCUGGGAAUUGCAGUGGAUACUGGAUCACUAGAGUGUGGUAGAGGGAUGCGGAAUUUCUGGUGUAGCAGUGAAAUGCGUAGAGAUCAGAAGGAACAUCCGUGGCGAAGGCGGCAUCCUGGGCCAACACUGACACUGAGGCACGAAAGCGUGGGGAGCAAACAGGAUUAGAUACCCCUGUAGUC
rnacentral:rRNA from 1 species